rnacentral:rRNA from 1 species
UGGGGAAUAUUGCACAAUGGACAGAAGUUUGAUGCAGCGACGCCGCGUGGAGGGUGUAGGCCUUCGGGUUGUGAACUCCUUUUUCUCGCGAAAAAGGCACAGUUUUGGCUGUGUUGAUGGUAGUGGGGGAAGAAGCGCCGGCUAACUACGUGCCAGCAGCCGCGGUAAUACGUAGGGCGCGAGCGUUGUCCGGAUUUAUUGGGCGUAAAGAGCUCGUAGGUGGUUCGUCGCGUCUGUCGUGAAAGCCAGCAGCUUAACUGUUGGUCUGCGGUGGGUACGGGCGGGCUUGAGUGCGGUAGGGGUGACUGGAAUUCCUGGUGUAGCGGUGGAAUGCGCAGAUAUCAGGAGGAACACCGAUGGCGAAGGCAGGUCACUGGGCCGUUACUGACACUGAGGAGCGAAAGCGUGGGGAGCGAACAGG